rnacentral:rRNA from 1 species
GUGUCAGCCGCCGCGGUAAUACGGGGGGGGCAAGCGUUGUUCGGAAUUACUGGGCGUAAAGGGGACGUAGGCGGCCAACUAAGUCCGACGUGAAAUCCCAAGGCUUAACCUUGGAACUGCGUCGGAUACUGGAUGGCUUGAAUUCGGGAGAGGGAUGCAGAAUUCCAGGUGUAGCGGUGAAAUGCGUAGAUAUCUGGAGGAAUACCGGUGGCGAAGGCGGCAUCCUGGACCGACAUUGACGCUGAAAGCCGAAAGCUAGGGGAGCAAACGGGAUUAGAAACCCUUGUAGUCC